UUAAAAAUAAGCUAACUAAAGCUUUUGGGCUCAUACCCCAAAUAUAUAGAUAUACCUAUUUUUUAAA
rnacentral:tRNA from 2 species